rnacentral:rRNA from 1 species
UAUCGCUCAGAUUUGAAAUCUGGCACCUUCGGUGUCCGAGUUGUAAUUUGAAGAAGGUAUCUUUGGUUUUGGCUCUUGUCUAUGUUCCUUGGAACAGGACGUCACAGAGGGUGAGAAUCCCGUGCGAUGAGAUGCCCAAUUCCAUGUAAAGUUCCUUCGACGAGUCGAGUUGUUUGGGAAUGCAGCUCUAAGUGGGUGGUAAAUUCCAUCUAAAGCUAAAUAUUGGCGAGAGACCGAUAGCGAACAAGUACUGUGAAGGAAAGAUGAAAAGAACUUUGAAAAGAGAGUGAAAAAGUACGUGAAAUUGUUGAAAGGGAAGGGCUUGAGGUCAGACUUGGUUUUACCAGGCCAGCAUCAGUUUGGAUGGCAGGAUAAUAGCGGAGGAAAGUGGCACCAUUUCGAUGGUGUGUUAUAGCCUUUGUUGAUACUGCCUGUCUAGACUGAGGACUGCGUCUUUGACUAGGAUGCUGGCAUAAUGACCUUAAGCC